rnacentral:rRNA from 1 species
AUACGUAGGGUGCAAGCGUUAAUCGGAAUUACUGGGCGUAAAGCGUGCGCAGGCGGUUUUGUAAGACAGAGGUGAAAUCCCCGGGCUCAACCUGGGAACUGCCUUUGUGACUGCAAGGCUAGAGUACGGCAGAGGGGGAUGGAAUUUCGGGUGUGGCAGUGCAAAGCGUAGAUUUGCGGAGGAACACCGAGGGCGCAGGCAAACCCAUGGGCCUGUACGUACGCUCCGGCCCGAAGGCGUGGGGAUCAAUCAGGAUUAGAGCCCCUGGUAGACCACUGCCCACUGGAUGUCGACUGUGUGCUUGGAAUGCAAUGUAUUGGUACCGAAGCGAACGCGUUUAGUGAUACGCCUGGGGAGCUCGGCCUCAAGGUUGAAACUCAAAGGAAUUGACGGGG